rnacentral:rRNA from 1 species
GGUCAAAUCAUCAUGCCCCUUAUAUCCCGGGCUUCACACGUACUACAAUGGCGAUUAACAAUGGGUCGCGAAACCGCGAGGUAGAGCCAAUCCUCAAAAAUCGCCUCAGUUCAGAUUGCGGGCUGAAACUCGCCUGCAUGAAGUUGGAAUUGCUAGUAAUCGCGAAUCAGCAUGUCGCGGUGAAUACGUUCCCGGGCAUU